GGCUUAGAAGCAGCCACCCUUUAAAGAAAGCGUAAUAGCUCACUGGUCUAGUUUUCCUGCGCCGUAAAUAUAACGGGGCUAAGUAUAUUACCGAAGCNGUAGACUUCGNAAGAAGUGGUAGNNGAGCGUUCNANNNGCANUGAAGGNNNNNCGGCAAGGNNNNNUGGAGCGNNUGGAAGUGAGAAUGCUGACAUGAGUAGCGAUAAAGGAGGUGAAAAUCCUCCUCGCCGAAAGCCCAAGGGUUCCUGUCCAAGGACAAUCCGGGCAGGGUUAGUCGGCCUCUAAGGUGUAGCCGAAAGGCGAAGCCGAUGAGAAGCAGGUAAAUAUUCCUGCACCACCGGUGUGGAGCAGAGCAAGGACGGAGAAAGAUAGGUCAUCUGGUUAAUGGAUUCCAGUAUGCCUUCGUAGGCCGGAUUCGUAGGAAUAAAACGCGAAUCCAAAGCUGAGGAGGGUGUCGUAAGUGAUUGAUUCUAGGCUUCCAAGAAAAGUUGCGUACUGUUUUGAAACAUUGGUGACCGUACUCCAAACCGACACAGGUGGGCGAGUGGAGAACACUAAGGCGCUUGAGAGAACUCGGGUUAAGGAAUUAGGCAAAUUAGCACCGUAACUUCGGGAUAAGGUGUGCCCCCGACGGUAAAUGACUUCGCGUCAUGAAGCUAUUGGGGGUCGCAGCUAAGCAGCGGUAGCGACUGUUUACCAAAAACACAGGUCUCUGCGAAAUCGUAAGAUGAUGUAUAGGGACUGACGCCUGCCCGGUGCUGGAAGGUUAAGUGAGGGGGUUAGCGUAAGCGAAGCUCUUGAUNGAAGCCCCAGUAAACGGGGCGGCCGUAACAAUAACGGUCCUAAGGUAGCGAAAUUCCUUGUCGGGUAAGUUCCGACCUGCACGAAUGGCGUAACGACUUCCGCACUGUCUCGACCCGCGACCCAGCGAAAUUGACAUAGGGGUGAAGAUGCCCCUUACCCGCAGCAAGACGGAAAGACCCUGUGAACCUUUACUCUAGCUUGACAGUGAUAUUCGAUUUAGUUUGUGUAGGAUAGGUGGGAGACUUUGACCUUGGGGCGCCAGCUUCAAGUGAGUCAUUGGUGAAAUACCACCCUGAUUACUUUGGAUAUCUAACCGGCGCAAAACGCUGGGACACUGUCUGGUGGGGAGUUUGACUGGGGCGGUCGCCUCCCAAAAUGUAACGGAGGCGUGCAAAGGUUCCCUCAGCAUGAUUGGAAACCAUGCGUAGAGUGCAAUAGCAUAAGGGAGCUUGACUGCGAGACUGACAGGUCGAGCAGGUACGAAAGUAGGCUAUAGUGAUCC
rnacentral:rRNA from 1 species